CUCAAUGAAGCAGUAUCCCAGGGUUUUAUCAGUUUCAGGAUCAACAGGCAUCCAGAGACCAUCCUCUUUUAUAACACCAAUCUGACUAUAAAUUUUCCUAACCACUCCUUCGAGCUUCUCAAACUUCUCCUUCGGAACGACGGGGAGGCUAUCCACGACAAUGAUGUUACCAAAUCCAGACUCGAACUCGAGAUUAUCCUCCUGGUAAACUUCAUCGUCAUCGCUGAACAGUGUAAAAAAAAAGCGUAAGAGCACCGCUACCUAGGGUUUCAGUCCAGUGGCCAGAACAAAAAUACAUUGGAAAAUACGAAAUUCGCACCUGACAAUUCCACAGUUUUCGCCGGGAGGAAGACGAAUGGAGUCGAGAUCGAGUGUGGAGAGAUCAAGGCCGAGACGCAGCGCCGUGUCUUCGAUCUCCUUCAUUACCAUGACAUCCGCCAUGAUUGUAGCGACAGACAACGGUCUUAGCGUUAUGGAGGCAGAGUAUGCAGAAUAGAGAGUUUGGUUUCUAGGGUUAGGGUUCUCUCCGACACAUGCCAAUAAAAUACAAACAAAUGGUUCACUUGCCAAAAUUUUGUAAAAAAUCUUACUAUUAAAAAAAAAAAAAAAACUCUCAUGCAUUCGCUCUUCUUCUCUUAUUCGAUUUCCAUUUUCACUAAUUCCAAAAUUCAUUUUUUUACAAUGACGAUACUACCCUCUUCCACUCUCUGCCACGUAAUCCGGCACUGUUACGGUUGUCAACGCAACAGAUACGCAUCAUAUAUUGGUAUUAACUUAAUUAUUUAUAUUUAUAUUUCUUUUGAAAACCCAUAAUAUCUUGUAAACAUUAUGUUAUUAUUUCUAGGCAUACUUGAUCAUUCAAACUUUUGAAAAAGAAAAAUAUUAACAAGCUUCUUAUAAUAUUGUAAUUUGAUUUUUAUUUUUUAUUAUAUUUUAAAAAAUAAUAAGAUUUUGAAUUGAUUAAAAAUAUUUGACUCAUAGUUCAUGUCAUUCAAUAUUUAUGAAAAUUAUAAUACUUUUUGAAGUACUAGUUUGUUAUCCAGUAAUGAGGUGGUAAUUCUUUUUAAAAAAGGUAAUUAUCAAUUUUAAAUAAAUAACGUUAAUAAUCUUACAUACAGAAGUAAUUUAGGAUGAAUAAAAAUUGAAAAACAACAAAUAUUAUGUAAAAGAACAACAACCUCUUUUUCUUCUUCAAGUUUCUCUUCUUCUUCAAGUUUUUUUUUUCUUUCAUUAUUAGUUUAGGAAUUAGAGAGUGUGAUGAUGUUCUGCUAAGGUUAGGAUUAACUUGAUGUAGAUACAAAAUAAUAACGGUUUACCAAAGAAUAUAGUUGCUUGAAAUGAAAUGAAGAGAGUGAUUGAAAAUUGAGGUUUAUAUGUGAGAUAUGGAGUAGAAACUUGUGAGAGUACCCUCUCUCUUUUCUUAUUAUUGCAUUAAAAUAAGAAAUUAAAGGAAGAAUAGAGAGUCUUAUAUAAAAAUUGUACAUUAAUAUUAAUUUAAAAAUUAAAAAAAUAAUUUUAUUUUUAAAUAAUUUAUAUAAAAUGAUAAAAUAUUUCGUUAUACUAAUAAAAUGAGAUAUAUUAAAUAAGGAUAGAAUCGAAAAAAAAAAUAUUUACACAGAAAAAUGGUUAGAAUGGAAUUCUCCUUUACACAUAUGUAUAGAUUAAUUAUAUAUAUAUAUAUAUAUAUAACAAGGUAUAAGUGAAAAAUAUUAAAAUUAAGUUCAAAUAACAAAAUUGAAUAUUAUGAAAUGUAUAGUAUAAAGUGUUUCAAUUGUGUAUUUGACACAAUAAGUCUUCUUUAAAGAGGAAAGAAAUAGAAAAAAAAUGAAUUUUUAAUUAUUUUUUUUAAUCAUUUGCUACCCAAUUACUAAACCAAAUAUAAAAUUUAAAUUGUAGUUCGGUUUUGUUCAAUUUAAAUUGUAACAAAAUUAAAUUAUUCAGUUUAAUUCAAUUUUUAUGGUUUUUACUGUCAUAAAAUUAUUUAAUAAUCUCUAAAGAAAGUUAAAACAUUUGUUUUACAAAAUUAUAUUUGAAGAUUUUAUAAUAAAAAAAUAUCAAAUAGAAAGAAAUGUUGUGAAUAGUUAGUGUUCAAUCAUUUUACGGGCAAAGGAAACACUUAUAUUUUAAAGGUUAUCUUUUUCAACUUACAUUAACAAAUUAUAAUUUAGUUUUUAAGAAAUAUGAUUAUAUAUGUCAUUUGUAUUAAAUAAUAAAAAGAAAUUUCACUCACACACAUGAGAUACUGUUAAAUGACACUAAUACUUCUUUUAAAUUUUAAGCAUUCAUAUUAUUUUAUUUAUAUUUACACUUCUAAAAAAAAACACUGUAUAUAAUGUGUGUGAGUGAAAUUUAUAUUUAUACCAUUUUAAUUGUAAAUAUUUAUAUAAAAUCAAUAUUUUUAUAAAAAAAAACUUUUUAUAUUUUUCAAAACCAAUAUUUUUAUAAAAAAAAACUUUUUAUAUUUUUCAAAACCAAUUUUUAAUUGAACAAAAAAUAAUAUUUUUUACGUUUAUAAUAUAAUAAAUAAAACUUUCAACUUCUUAUGAAGAAACUUUAAAUUCUACUUUAAAGCUUUUUAAUUGUAAUUUUGAAAGUAUUACUCCAGCACAAACAAUGUCAAAAGAUUAGAAAAAAUGUAUAAUUUAGCAAAGAUGAAUACAGCACUCUACAUUCAAGAUUCUAAUUAUAAAUAUUUACUUUAAAAAAAUUAAUUAUAUUAAAAAAACAUAACUUUUAUUUUAAAAAUAAAAUUAUAAUUGAACAAAUAGAAUAAAUUUUAACAUUGAUAAUGUAUAAUAAUUAAAGCUUUCAACAUUUUCUUAUAAAUGAACUUUCAAUACUUAUUUUUAAUAUUUUAUUUCAUUAAAAAUUUAACUAAUAUGUUCUUAUUUUAAAAAAAUAAAUGACAAGUGUCAUUUCAAACAUUGUAAUUUCUAGUAUUAAAAACCUAGAUAAACUGUCUAAUCUAGCAAAGAUGACUACAAUCAUUUAAUCAAUAAUAUGAGGAGAAAUUCUUCAUACAUGCAUAUCAGUCACAGAUUGAAACCAAAAGUGCUUACAGAUUAAUAACUCAAAUUUUGUACUUCCUCAAAAAAUUCUAAUCAAAACAAAAUUAUUCAGAAUUUGAUGUUAAAUCUAGUUAAGAAUAAGUUAAAAAAUAUUUACAAAAACUUAAGCUGGGUAAUAUACUAAAAUUGUGCAAUCUCAUCAAAACCUUCAAAAUUGGGUUUCACAAAUGCCCAACUAAACCUCAGACAGAAUAAAAUGUUCUGGUAUAAACUAUAGAACUCACUCUUGACCGUACUCAAGGUGAAGGACCUCUUCUGAUACAUCAAUGACUUCCUCCACUUCAAUGUCCUUCGCCUCGUACUCUUCCUCUUCAUCGCUAGCUUCCCCGUCCCUGAGCUUCUGUCUAUGUAAGCUCUCCUCCUCGUGGAUCCGCUUCCAUUCAUGGAUCCACUUGUCCCAAUCUUCUUUCAACAUCCUCCGCUUAUCACGUUCUUGCUCACUCAACAGCAGCGAGACAUCUUGAUCUUCUGCCUCAUAUUUCUUGCUGUACUUCUUCAAAUUCUUGGCAAUCUCUUCCUCUUUCUCGGGACUCAAGAAAGAUGGUGGCCUUGGUCUCCACAAGAACUAUAUAUAAAGAAAACAAAUACAUUCAGGCUUGAUUUAUCCACACACAGGACAGUCAGUGUCAUACAACAUGCAGAAUAGCAAUAAAGAUUUGUGUAAUAAUUUCAAAACUGUGUAAAUUCUUCUAUCACAAUUCCACUACCAAAACAUUGAUUCAAAGAUGGAAUAGUACAAUGUCCAAACCUAUCACCGUAUGAACAUUCUUCCAUGUACCCUUAUAUAAUGAGGGUACAAUUGCCAAAAAAUGCAUCAGAGUACAAGUAAUAUAGUACCUGAAAGAAGUGAUCCUUCAGAAUCCGAUAUAGAUGUUUGCCAUUAAAAGACCAUAUAUUGAAACCAUUUUCCAUUUCAUGAACUGAUGUCACAGCAGUUGCGACAUACCUGCAUUACAAAGAAAGGACACUAUAAGCUAGUGAUAAUCAACAAAUCAAUGAAAAGUAUUUCUCAGCAAAGUGCCUAAGGUAAAUAAAAUUCUAAUCGGAUUUUACACAAGAUUAACCUACGAACUGCCUUCAUCAGCAANNNNNNNNNNNNNNNNNNNNNNNNNNNNNNNNNNNNNNNNNNNNNNNNNNNNNNNNNNNNNNNNNNNNNNNNNNNNNNNNNNNNNNNNNNNNNNNNNNNNAUACCUUCCAGUUGGAUCCCAUUCAAUAUCUGUUGCCAUAAAAUGUUCAGCAGUAGCCAUGGUUUCAAGUUCAUCAACAUUGUAAAAUUCCAACUGCCCAUUGAAUCCUUUCAGCCCAGCUAGUACAAUGUAACGACCUGCAGGCGACCAAAAUAGAGCAUUUGCUUGCUUGCCUUUCAGAGUAGUGAGUUUUGAAACUCGGCUAUUCUGACCAGUGCGCAUGGAAUAAAUGCUUACAUCAGGCUUAGGGUUAUCACCAUGAAUAACCACAAACCUAUGGCCUUUUGGCUCCCAAGCAAAUGCAAUGAUCUUAUCAUUCUUAUUUUCAAGCUCCAAUACCUCAAUAGGUAUGUCUCGUUCUUUUAUUCGGAAAAGCUCAAAUCCUGUGUAUGUGCUCUUUUUUGUUUUUGUAUAGCGUUCUACAUUAACAGCAAGGUAGUCUCCAUUGCUUUGCCAGUAGAUCUUGCAGUCACUGACACUGAAAAGGUUUUUCUGCCUGAGUUCUUCUUUGCUGGGGACUUGGAUCAGACUCACCUAUAAAUAUGUAAAAGAACAAAUAUAAUGGUUGAUAAAUGAUAUGGCCAUUAAGUAUGAUAAAAAAGUAAAUUAUUUCAAUUCCCGUGCAUAAAACACAGUCUUACCCUCGCAGGCUGGUUUCCACCCCCCAUCUCAGGAACAAAGAGAGCAAUAAUUGGAUCAGUUGGAGACCAGCAGAAAUCCAUUAUAUUUUCAACCUUCAGAGACUUCUUGUCAACGAGAGAAAAGGUCUCGGUCUCAUACACAGAGAGUACAUUUUUUCCCAUCCUUGCAAAGUAUUUAUCAUCUCUUCCACCACUCCACCUGUAAAGACAGUGACAGUAAUGAAUUACUGCAUUAGACACCAGGCAGAUGCUAAUAUAAUUGCAUGAACUAGACCAAGAUAAUGAAUAAAAUAGUACUUGAAAACAGGCCAUGAAACUCCUGUGACACCCCCAGCCCCUCCAACUGCAAAAUCAUCGGCACUACCUUUAAAGUCCCUCAUCACCUUGCCAGUUCUCACAUCAAAUAUAUUUAUCACAACCCUCUACAAAACAAGUCAGAGUUAGGAAGAGUGUCCAUCUAAAGUACUAAAAAAACAAAAAAGAAAGCACUCACAUUGGCAUCUCGGGGAUUGCUUGGUUCAUUGCUACUAUAAGUUACCAGAUACUUUUCACCGGGUGAAAAAUCAAUAAGUUUUACCUGUGUUCAAUAUUACUAUGAAUAAUUUGGUAAAAAUAAAAAGAAACCCAACGUCAGAGAGCCAAACAAUUAUACAGAAUAAAUCUCAAAGAAAACCUGAGGAUGUGCAUAUCGCAUGAGUCUGUUAAAGCUUGAAGAACCUCCCCAGACAGCUGCCCCCUGUCUGUGAACAGUGGCCAAGUAUGUCCCCAGAGGAGACCAUUGGACAAAACUUUCUGUCCAAAACUACAUCAAUCCACAAUCAUGUAAAGAUAGGCAAUAAUAAAUAUCAUAAGUACAAGAUACUCAAAUAAAAUGUCUACUCACAGCCCGCUUAUAAACAGGAUCAGGCUUCAAAUGCCUUGCAUCAUUCCACAAAACCUCAGUAUCUGAACCAGCACGAAUCACAAACUGGUCCCUGGCCUUAGCAUCAGUGAGCCAGUGUUGAAGAUUUUCCUGAAACAGAUGCCAAAACCAAAGAGCAUAAGAAAUAUCAAUAAGCUACAAAGUUCCAGUCUGACAGCUACAAGAUCAUGGCUAAAUACAAAUAAAUUAUGUACAAACUUUAAACUACACAACAAGUAAAGAAACUGUAUUCACAAAAUCCACGUAAUAAUAAAAUAUGCAUAGAACCAAAUUAAAAGCAAGCAAUGCAAACAUAUUUUGGACGGAGAUGACAUAUACAUAGUGAAAAGCCUCAAUAAUCCUAAUAUUGAGCAAUGAACCAAGUAUCUAGUAACACAUACAUCGUGCACAGUGUAUCUAUAGGUCACAAUUGUUAAUUGAAACAAAACUAAGGAAAGGUGAGGACCAUGACUGUCACAAAAUAUAAUUUAUGCAACAAUAUAUUAAAAUCUAGGCUUAGUAUCACAUAUCCUAAGUCCCAAAAAGAAGAAAAGUAUAUAUAAACAUUACCCCUGGAGCAUAUGGCUUUGUUUCAGGAGGAGCCCACUCAUUCGGAACCUUCAUAAACCUGUCAAAGUCAUCAAACAUGCUCACACAAAAUAUAUGUGCCCGAUCCAAUUUGUACCCAUGAGUCUUCUCUUUAGCAAGCUCUGCUUCCUAAAAAAAAGCACCCAAUUUAACCAUACAGAAUCAAAAAUUUCCAAUCCAAUAUCCACUGAAAACUGUCAACAAACAAAAUUAACACUGGUAUUGAAAACAACAAACGACUUAGGCCAACAAAUCUUUUAAAUUUCACUCUGUCCAGGUACAUUGAAGAAAGAGUGAAUAUACCUGAGGAGUAUAUGCAUUAUUUAUGUAUUAUAUCUCGAAUCAGGUGUUACCUCUCCUACGGAUUGUGAGGAUCAAAUAUCAGAACUUGAAAGCAUCUUGGAUUCUACCGUAAUAUUAAUUUCCGUGAUGAUUUGAUUUAAUUUUUCUGUGAGUGUGUUAUGCCCAAGAGAUUGCACACAAGAAUAAGACAAUUUUAUUGAUAAUAAUUCUGGACAUAACUAGAAUUAGAGUACAAACCCACAAAACACACACCUAAGCCUAUAUCUUCUGCCCGUAACUACCAGUGAUACAUAUAUCCCUAAAACACAUAUCUUUCUAAUCUAAUAACUGUCCUAUAAAAUAGUUAUGAUCCACACAAAAAAAAAACAUAGCUGAUAAAAUAACUGUCGUCCAUACACAUAACAACCUUUCUGAAAUAGCUUCAAUCAGUUGCUUAUUUUCUUUUUUGGUGACAAAGUUUCCAAGUCAUGCUGGUGACAAAGUCUUCUACUAGCCUAUCAGAGUGCUCGUGUGAUUGUAUGUUUAUACCAUUAAAAGAAUGUAAAUGUCUCUUUUUAUUUCUGUAGAGAUAUACUAUUGAAGAUCGGACAAAUAUGAAUGGAUAUAUAUAGUCUGCUCAGGAGAGUUGUAGGUAUUAUGACCAAGCCCGCUUUUCGGCGUUGAGUUUGAAACCAAAGAUUGUAAAACAUGACUUCUUAGAAAUUUUCCCAGAUAUGAUCAUUUACGACCCUCCAGAGGACUUGUUUGACGAUCAUUAGCUGCACAAUGAUGGAGAUAAUAGAAUAUUCUGCACAACUUUUAGACCACUUUGUUUCUUAUGACUAGGAUGAAAAAACUAACUUAAAAUUUUUAUGUAUCUGAGGUUGGGUAGAAAGUCUUUUUGAUACGUAGAAAUAUCAACAUGUAAUAGCAUUGGAUUUACACAUUUUUAAAGAUAAAUUACUAAGGGGUUAUUGGUUAUGGUAUAUUGUGGUGGUUUGUCUAUGCUAUUUUCUUAGAAGUGUUUUUUAAUAAGCAAAUCCUAUUUGCUUCUUAAAUUAGUCAUUGUUUUAAAGAAGUGUUAGGUUUCAGCUUAAAACCAAUUGCCACUAAUUGAAGUUGCCCAACAGAUAUAUAAGCCACACUCCAGGACUUUAGGCAGAUGAUGUGAGACUUCCUAACAUUCCCCUUCACAAAUGCCUCCUGAUUUCUCAGGUUUUUCAUUUCUCAGUUUCUUAUUUAAGUGGAAACAAUACAUAGGUUGAUGCUGUGGCUCCUAAAAGGCAGAAGGAGAUAUUGGAUUCUUUUCGUUCUGGAAAGGUAUUUGUUUAUUGCAUCAUGUGAUAAGUAAUGUGCAAUAAAUUUGUCCCAAAUGUUGGUAUUGAGAAUCUAAUAAUUAAUAGAUUAUUAAUGUUUUGUUUAGGUCAAUCUAUUAUUUACUACUGAUGUACUUGAGGAAGGAAUUCAUGUGCCAAACUGCUCAUGUGUGAUACGAUUUGACCUCUCAAAGACGGUUCGUAGUUAUGUCCAAUCUCGUGGAAUACCUAGGCAGCCUAAAUCCCAAUUUGUUGUUGUGAUGUUGGAGAGGCAAGUAAUCUGAUUGUCACAACCUGUUUGAUUUUGGAGAUUCCUUCUCCAUAGAACACUCUUAGUACUUAUUUUCAAGUGUGUAUUAUUUAAGUGCAUAAAAGUUGAUUUUUUUCACUUACUCAAAAUUGAUAUAAUAAAAAAGUAUAAAUGGGAGGAGGACAUUAAUUCAGUACACUAAUCUAGGCCUGUAAAUCAGGGAAUGAUCUUUCCUUUAAAUGCAGAAAAAUGAAUAUUUUCUCUGAUUUGAAACAGAUACAAAUGAGGAUGUUCAAAUAGGGAGAGGAGAUUAGUUCUCUGUAGACUAAUCUAGGCCUGAAUAUCAUAUAUUAAUAUUAACUUUACAAACCAAAUUGCAUAAUGCUGAUUGAUUUCUGUAGAUUAAACCCUGUAAUCCUAUUCUAAUUGUUUCCCUUAAUUAUCAGCAUUAACACUUGUAUCUACAGGGGAAAUCUGGAUGAAAGAAAUAAACUCUUUGACAACAUUAGGAGUGAGUGCUCCAUGACUGAUGGAUCUAUGACUAAGGACCAUGAAUCUAGUAUACUAUGUGGAAUCUACCGAGCUUCUGUGACUUUAGAUUCUAGUGUUAUAGAUUCUAGUGUUACUCUUAUCCACCGAUACUGUUGAGUCUUCGAUAUCCAUAGAACACUUUCACGAGAUCAAUAAGAUUGGAUCCUGUUGUGCCUAUCUUCUUUUUAACUAUUUGAAACAUAGUCUUUAUGUUCUUCUGCUUGCAAUUUGGAUUAGGUAUUGACAACAACAAACGACUUAGGCCAACAAAUCUUUUAAAUUUCACUGUGUCCAGGUACAUUGAAGAAAGAGUGAAUAUACCUGAGGAGUAUUGUACUCAAUGAAGCAGUAUCCCAGGGUUUUAUCAGUUUCAGGAUCAACCGGCAUCCAGAGGCCAUCCUCUUUUAUAACACCAAUCUGACUAUAAAUUUUCCGAACAACUCCUUCGAGCUUUUCAAACUUCUCCUUCGGAACGACGGGGAGGUUAUCCACGACAAUGAUGUUACCAAAUCCAGACUCGAACUCGAGAUUAUCCUCCUGGUAAACUUCAUCGUCAUCGCUAA
rnacentral:lncRNA from 1 species